rnacentral:rRNA from 1 species
AUCGCGCGAUCGCCUUGAGUUGAUCAUGGCUCGAACGAACGCUGGCGGCGCGCCUAAUACAUGCAAGUCGAACGAGAAUGUGUAGCAAUACACAUGUACAGUGGCGAACGGGUGAGGAAUACAUAGGUAACCUACCCUCGAGUGGGGAAUAACUAGCCGAAAGGUUAGCUAAUACCGCGUACGCUCCCCGGACUACGGUUCGGGGAGGAAAGCGAUACCGUGGGUAUCGCGCUCUUGGAUGGGCUUAUGUCCUAUCAGCUUGUUGGUGAGGUAACGGCUCACCAAGGCUACGACGGGUAGCUGGUCUGAGAGGACGAUCAGCCACACUGGCACUGCGACACGGGCCAGACUCCUACGGGAGGCAGCAGUAAGGAAUAUUGCGCAAUGGGCGACAGCCUGACGCAGCGACGCCGCGUGGGGGACGAAGGUCUUCGGAUUGUAAACCCCUUUCGGGAGGGAAGAUGGGACGGGUAACCGUUCGGACGGUACCUCCAGAAGCAGCCACGGCUAACUUCGUGCCAGCAGCCGCGGUAAUACGAAGGUGGCAAGCGUUGUUCGGAUUUACUGGGCGUACAGGGAGCGUAGGCGGUUUCGUAAGCCCUCUGUGAAAUCUCCAGGCUUAACCUGGAACAGCCGGAGGGGACUGCUGAGCUAGAGGAUGGGAGAGGAGCGCGGAAUUCCCGGUGUAGCGGUGAAAUGCGUAGAGAUCGGGAGGAGGGCCGGUGGCGAAGCNGCGCUCUGGAACUUUCUGACGCUGANGCUCGAAAGCGUGGGGAGCAAA